ensembl:lncRNA
AGUGGUCAGGGUAGAUAGAGAGGGUGGUAGAGGUAGUGGUCAGGGUAGAUAGAGAGGGUGGUAGAGGUAGUGGUCAGGGUAGAUAGAGAGGGUGGUAGAGGUAGUGGUCAGGGUAGAUAGAGAGGGUGGUAGAGGUAGUGUAGUGGGUAGAUAGAGAGGGUGGUAGAGGUAGUGGUCAGGGUAGAUAGAGAGGGUGGUAGAGGUAGUGGUCAGGGUAGAUAGAGAGGGUGGUAGAGGUAGUGGUCAGGGUAGAUAGAGAGGGUGGUAGAGGUAGUGGUCAGGGUAGAUAGAGAGGGUGGUAGAGGUAGUGGUCAGGGUAGAUAGAGAGGGUGGUAGAGGUAGUGUAAAAGGGUAAUCUCCUAUUUAGACGGUCACAGUCCAGUGAUUGUGUUGUUGACGAACACAGGGGUGUUUAAGAGGUCAGUGAACACACACACACACACACACACA